rnacentral:rRNA from 1 species
CCUACGGGAGGCAGCAGUGAGGAAUAUUGGUCAAUGGGAGAGAUCCUGAACCAGCCAAGCCGCGUGAGGGAAGACGGCCCUAUGGGUUGUAAACCUCUUUUGUCGGAGAACAAAACCCGGGACGAGUCCCGGACUGCGUGUAUCCGAAGAAAAAGCAUCGGCUAACUCCGUGCCAGCAGCCGCGGUAAUACGGAGGAUGCGAGCGUUAUCCGGAUUUAUUGGGUUUAAAGGGUGAGUAGGCGGUCUGUUAAGUCAGCGGUAAAAGUGCGGGGCUCAACCCCGUCGAGCCGUUGAAACUGGCAGACUUGAGUUGGCGAGAAGUACGCGGAAUGCGCGGUGUAGCGGUGAAAUGCAUAGAUAUCGCGCAGAACUCCGAUUGCGAAGGCAGCGUACCGGCGCCAGACUGACGCUGAGGCACGAAAGCGUGGGGAUCGAACAGGAUUAGAUACCCCAGUAGUC